rnacentral:rRNA from 1 species
UACGUAGGGGGCAAGCGUUGUCCGGAUUUAUUGGGCGUAAAGAGCGUGUAGGCGGCCAUACAGGUCCGUUGUGAAAACUCGAGGCUCAACCUCGAGACGUCGAUGGAAACCGUAUGGCUAGAGUCCGGAAGAGGAGAGUGGAAUUCCUGGUGUAGCGGUGAAAUGCGCAGAUAUCAGGAAGAACACCCGUGGCGAAGGCGGCGACCUGGUCCGAUACUGACGCUGAGGCGCGAAAGCGUGGGGAGCAAACAGG